rnacentral:rRNA from 1 species
AACGAACGCUGGCGGCAGGCCUAACACAUGCAAGUCGAACGAGUAAGAGCCGUAGCAAUACGGAGUUCUGCUAGUGGCGCACGGGUGCGUAACGCGUGGGAAUCUGCCCCUUGGGGUGCGGAAUAACUUCUCGAAAGGGAUGCUAAUACCGCAUAAUGUCGUAAAGACCAAAGAUUUAUCGCCCAAGGAUGAGCCCGCGUAAGAUUAGCUAGUUGGUGGGUAAAAGCCUACCAAGGCGACGAUCUUUAGCUGGUCUGAGAGGAUGAUCAGCCACACUGGGACUGAGACACGGCCCAGACUCUACGGGAGGCAGCAGUGGGGAAUAUUGGACAAU